rnacentral:rRNA from 1 species
AAUAGAUACCCAGGUAGUCCACGCCGUAAACCGAUGGGUACUAGGUGUGGGAGGUGUCGACUCCGUCCCGUGCCGUCGCUAACGCACGUAAGUACCCCGCCUGGGGAGUACGGCCGCAAGGCUAAAACUCAAAGGGAAUUGACGGGGGCCCGCACAAGCAGCGGAGCAUGUGGUUUAAUUCGACGCAACGCGAAGGACCUUACCUGGGCUUGACAUGUUGGUGACCGCCGUGGAAACACGGUUUUCCUUCGGGACACCAUCACAGGUGGUGCAUGGCUGUCGUCAGCUCGUGUCGUGAGAUGUUGGGUUAAGUCCCGCAACGAGCGCAACCCCCGUCCUAUGUUGCCAUCAUUUAGUUGGGGACUCAUAGGAGACUGCCGGUGACAAACCGGAGGAAGGUGGGGAUGACGUCAAGUCAUCAUGCCCCUUAUGUCCAGGGCUACACACGUGCUACAUUGGCGCAUACAAAGGGCAGCAAUACCGCGAGGUGGAGCAAAUCCCAUAAAGUGCGCCUCGGUUCGGAUUGGAGGCUGAAACUCGCCUCC